rnacentral:rRNA from 1 species
AUUGAACGCUGGCGGCAGGCCUAACACAUGCAAGUCGAACGAGUGGCGGACGGGUGAGUAAUGUCUGGGAAACUGCCCGAUGGAGGGGGAUAACUACUGGAAACGGUGGCUAAUACCGCAUACCAUCGGAUGUGCCCAUAUGGGAUUAGCUAGUAGGUGGGGUAAAGGCUCACCUAGGCGACGAUCUCUAGCUGGUCUGAGAGGAUAAUCAGCCACACUGGAACUGAGAAACGGCCCAGACUCCUACGGGAGGCAGCAGUGGGGAAUAUUGCACAAUGGGCGCAAGCCUGAUGCAGCCAUGCCGCGUGUAUGAAGAAGGCCUUAGGGUUGUAAAGUACUUUCAGCGGGGAGGCGUUACCCGCAGAAGAAGCACCGGCUAACUCCGUGCCAGCAGCCGCGGUAAUAC